UAACGAUACGGGACUCAUCCGAGGCCCCGUAAUCGGAAUGAGUACACUUUAAAUCCUUUAACGAGGAUCAAUUGGAGGGCAAGUCUGGUGCCAGCAGCCGCGGUAAUUCCAGCUCCAAUAGCGUAUAUUAAAGUUGUUGCGGUUAAAAAGCUCGUAGUUGAAUCUGUGUGCCACGCUGUUGGUUCAUCGCUCGCGAUGUUUAACUGACAUGAUUGUGGGACGUCCUACCGGUGGGCUUAGCCUCAACGGCGGUCCAACUAAUAUCCCAUCGCGGUGCUCUUAAUCGAGUGUCGAGGUGGGCCGGUACGUUUACUUUGAACAAAUUAGAGUGCUCAAAGCAGGCUAUGUUCGCCUGAAUACUGUGUGCAUGGAAUAAUGGAAUAGGACCUCGGUUCUAUUUUGUUGGUUUUCGGAACCCCGAGGUAAUGAUUAAUAGGGACAGAUGGGGGCAUUCGUAUUGCGACGUUAGAGGUGAAAUUCUUGGAUCGUCGCAAGACGGACAGAAGCGAAAGCAUUUGCCAAAAAUGUUUUCAUUAAUCAAGAACGAAAGUUAGAGGUUCGAAGGCGAUCAGAUACCGCCCUAGUUCUAACCAUAAACGAUGCCAGCUAGCGAUCCGCCGAAGUUCCUCCGAUGACUCGGCGGGCAGCUUCCGGGAAACCAAAGCUUUUGGGUUCCGGGGGAAGUAUGGUUGCAAAGCUGAAACUUAAAGGAAUUGACGGAAGGGCACCACCAGGAGUGGAGCCUGCGGCUUAAUUUGACUCAACAC
rnacentral:rRNA from 1 species